AUUCCAGCUCCAAUAGCGUAUAUUAAAAUUGCUGCAGUUAAAAGCUCGUAGUUGGAUCUUGGGCGCAGGCUGGCGGUCCGCCGCAAGGCGCGCCACUGCCCGCCUGACCUUCCUCUCGGUCUCCGCCCGGUUCUCUUGACUGAGUGCCGGGCGCGGCCGAAACGUUUACUUUGAAAAAAUUGGAGUGUUCAAAGCAGGCCGUGAGCCUGGACAGCAGAGCAUGGAAUAAUGGAAUAGGACCUCGGUUCUAUUGCGUUGGUUUUCGGAACUCGAGGUAAUGAUUAAGAGGGACUGACGGGGGCAUUCGUAUUGCGGUGUGAGAGGUGAAAUUCUUGGAUCGCCGCAAGACGACCGACUGCGAAAGCAUUUGCCAAGAAUGUUUUCAUUG
rnacentral:rRNA from 1 species